rnacentral:rRNA from 1 species
UACGAAGGGUGCAAGCGUUACUCGGAAUUGCUGGGCGUAAAGCGUGCGUAGGCGGUUUGUUAAGUCUGUCGUGAAAGCCCCGGGCUCAACCUGGGAAUGGCGAUGGAUACUGGCGAGCUAGAGUACGGUAGAGGAGAGUGGAAUUCCCGGUGUAGCAGUGAAAUGCGUAGAGAUCGGGAGGAACACCAAUGGCGAAGGCAGCUCGCUGGGACGGUACUGACGCUGAGACGCGAAAGCGUGGGGAGCAAACAGG